CUGGUUUCCGAUCCCCAAGUGGUCGCCUAUAGAAGGAAAUGCAUUGUUUUGUUCUUGUUCUCCAAGGGAGGUGGCUUAGCGAAACGAGGCAGGAAUUUUUGAAUGUGAUGUUGAAAAUAAAAAGAAGAGAUUGGAUGAUUGCCCGGUUCGUUCACUUCGUUUACUGCUCCGCUCAUGCGAUAUGCUUGAGAGCAGGUUGUUUACGUACUUGCUCUUACAAGCAAGGUUGAGCAAGUAGUGAUCUCGGGUAAAGUAGUCAGAAGAGUUCGCUAAGAAGACAGGUCCAACUUUUCAUUGACUAGCUAGCAAAAAGCGCUAGUCCGGUAAAAGCAAUAAGAGCAUUGAGGGUGAUCUACGAUCAGGGAGUGAAAAGGCUAAAGCUAAAGCAGCAGGAGAUGGAUGGGGCGAUCAACCCCACUAGAAGGUUAUUCUCGGUUAGGGGGAAAGGAAGAAAGAAAAAUAAAGCAAUCACUCUGCGGUGUAAGUAAAGCCCUCCGGUAGGUAGUUCUUCUUCCGUUGCUACAAGCGUGAAAUCGCCAAGGAACUCAACUCAAUUGCUCAGUCUCUAGGAAUUCAGCGAAGAAAGAAGCCUACUCUGUACUAUCACUGGCCAACGAGCGGGGAAAGCAUUGAUUUGUUUCCAGGCGCUAUCCGCCUUGCCUUACAGGACAAUGUCGGUUGAAGGUAUGAGUCAGGAUGGGAUAGAAGAGCAAAGCCGCUUGCCCAAUAGGUGACGGAGUGAACCCGCCCUUUCUUCAGGGUCAAGAAGAAGAGCAAGGAGGUCCCACUAUCUUAUAUAGGGAGCAGGCCACCUAAAAGAAGGUCUGAUUGAGCACUUUCUUCACCCGAUCUUAUGUCUGCAAGAUAAAGAUCAGACAUCACAUUACUUCCGCUAUUUGCAGAGAUGUCUUUGAAGGCAGGUGCCAAGUAAUAUGCGAAGUCCGGGUAUGAAAGCACAAUAGAACUCGCGGGAAAAGAACUUGACUUUCUUUCUUUCAUGGAUAGCAUUUUACGUCCAGUUUUGAAGGCAAAAAAAGUAAC
rnacentral:lncRNA from 1 species